rnacentral:rRNA from 1 species
CUGGUGGCGAGUGGCGAACGGGUGAGUAAUGUAUCGGAACGUGCCCAGUAGCGGGGGAUAACUACGCGAAAGCGUAGCUAAUACCGCAUACGCCCUACGGGGGAAAGCAGGGGAUCGCAAGACCUUGCACUAUUGGAGCGGCCGAUAUCGGAUUAGCUAGUUGGUGGGGUAACGGCUCACCAAGGCGACGAUCCGUAGCUGGUUUGAGAGGACGACCAGCCACACUGGGACUGAGACACGGCCCAGACUCCUACGGGAGGCAGCAGUGGGGAAUUUUGGACAAUGGGGGAAACCCUGAUCCAGCCAUCCCGCGUGUGCGAUGAAGGCCUUCGGGUUGUAAAGCACUUUUGGCAGGAAAGAAACGUCAUGGGUUAAUACCCCGUGAAACUGACGGUACCUGCAGAAUAAGCACCGGCUAACUACGUGCCAGCAGCCGCGGUAAUACGUAGGGUGCAAGCGUUAAUCGGAAUUACUGGGCGUAAAGCGUGCGCAGGCGGUUCGGAAAGAAAGAUGUGAAAUCCCAAAGCUUAACUUUGGAACUGCAUUUUUAACUACCGGGCUAGAGUGUGUCAGAGGGAGGUGGAAUUCCGCGUGUAGCAG